AGGGAUGUAGCUCAGUUGACAGAGUGCAUGUCUGGGAUGCAUGAAGUCCUGGGUUUAACCCACAGUACUGCUU
rnacentral:tRNA from 1 species